UCUAUGGCCCCUACCUUCUCUAUGACUUUUGGCCAACCGCCCGCCUGUUCAGUGUCCGUCGAUCCCUUCCGCAACGCCUUUCACUUUAUCCUCCGCACAGCCACUGUACCUAUAGCCCACGCCAGCACCCUGCCGAACUUCCCCGUACGUCACCUCCCCACAGGCCCAGCUGCCCCCCUUGUUCCUUGAACCACGCCCAACACAACAAUACACGAUCGUGGGGAUUGUUUGUGUUUUCGGGAUUUUUCUUUUUUUUCCUGUUAAGUGAUGAGUGAUUUCCAUUUCCGAGCUCCGUUGCAACCACUUCCUCUGCAAUCUCCCCUUUCUGUUUGCUUUGCUUCUCAGACUGGAAUCUGCAACGGCCAUCCGCCGGCCUCCUGUCCUUCUCCGCAAUGGCAUGCUUCCAUGAGUUUUUUAUACAUGGAAUAAGAUACGUAUGACCCAAUAACCAUUGGUUUUGAAAUGAACCACGAUGGAACAACCUUUAUUUUGCUAUAUUCUUGUCUUAAGAAAAACUCUACUAAAAAAAUGACUUAAGAAAAAGCCAACAGCCUUUCAAAUAUUAUUAGUUCUCGCAUGGGUUUGCAGAGUUAUUGUUAUAUUUCAAUAAUUCGAGGAAAGGUUGCCGCUUCUAUGAAGCUGCUGUUUGGGCUUGAUUUACUUUAACCUUUAAUGCUGCUCAAUGCAAUGUGAUUGUUCACUUAUAAAUGUGCAAGUCCUUUGUGGAUGUCCCACCUGUUGCGAUUAACUCAAUGCCAUGUCUAGAGGUUUGCUACUUUAUGCCUAUAAAGGUCCAUAUUCCAAAGAGAGAGCUGGGAAUGUGCUAUCUCGUGUUGAAUGCCAUUUGCACCACGUCCCUUUCUUUCUGGACUGCUUUGAAUUAUAUAUAUAUGGACAAAACACACACACACACACACACAUAUAUAUAUAUAAAUUUAACCAAUCUUAAUUUUCGGUGCGGUGUUCCCUCUACUAAUGUUGCAUUUACUUAUUUCUAAAACUAAUUUUCUUCCAUAUCUAAUUUUUGUUGGGUUACAUGGGGCAACAUAUGGUUACUGCAUAGCUCUUCCUUUUAAGGCGGUACUCAACCAAGUUCGUUAGCAGACUUGCUCAUAGAUCUCAGGCUUGAUUAAUGCACUUGUGUCAAGGCACAGGAGAACAAGACAUUGUCUCAGGUCUCUGCUUCUCUUCCACAAAACUCAAGUUCUUAAGAGAAGUUUUUCUUUCCCCAAUUUUGCCAACCUAAAUUUUAGUCUCAUUAUGUUGAGAUUUUAUAGCCACGUAUCGAAUAGGCUUAGGUAAUUUAUCAGAAAAUUGGCGGAACAUAAUCGUUCUUUAGGAAAUUGUCUAUAGAUCAGAUUUGGUAAUUUAGUGAAUUUAAACUUAUCCGAGAGCUUCUGAAUUUAUUUUGUAUUUUAAGGAGACAAAACUGAGCGACAUCUCCCUUCCUCUAAAUGAUUCUUUCACCCAUCCCACUAUUCCAGAUUCACUGCUGCAUUAUAUCCUUUAAUUAAAGCCACACUUUCUGAUGUCAUCCAUUGAAUCUUUGCUUAUUGAGUAGGAGUCCAAAUAAGCAACUAUUUUUUCACGUUUUGAGAAAAAGGAAAGAUCGUGGAUGGAAAGAUGCACUUGAUAGAUAGAUUGUCUAUCUUUCCACACUUGUCAAGGACCAUUCCUACUUCAAAAGAGCUCAAGUUUCUGAACCUUCUGACCGGAUACAGAAAAUUCCAUUUAUUGUUUAGAAUUAAUAUGCAAGUAUUUCUACUCUCUGAUGAAAAUUACUGCUGGGUUCUAUAGGUGUAUGUUCAUGCUUGAUGAGCGCCUAAGGAUCUGGAAACACGCCUUUGGAUUGACAUCACAUGAUGAGUUAUCCGAUUUAGAAUAUUCAUCUCACCUUUCAAGCCACUGCACAUCACCUGAUUUCAAUAGAUUUUUUAGCAUUAACUUCAUGAUUCUUGAUAGUUUUUUUUUUUUGUGAAGAUUUGCUUUGUUUAACCUGCAUUUUUAUCUAUACAGGUUGUGAGCAGGGAUUGUCUUUAAAGUAUAUUAGUACAUGUUCGCAUGGAUUGUAUAAUAUUAUAGUAACCACAAUACUCUGGUAAAAAACUUGUCAUUUGUUCUGUAGACCCAUGUUUGCGUAGUUGAAAGGUUCAAAGGAAGUAGUAAGGAUGCAUAUUAUGAGGUUACAUCCCUCAAAAGCAGCUGCUCUAGCUACUUCAAGCCAUCCAUACAGUGACUAGCGAUGCUACCCAAAAAGAAUUAUAUUGCCUUCGUUUCACAUAGCAACUAUUGAUUUCGUUUUCCGAGAUACUUGUGCUACGCCUGAGCCUGAAAAGGACUUCCGGUCACUGCAGUAGUUGAGAUAGAACUUUGGGAGCGACGAUUCUUCCGCAACAGCCGCCAAGUAUCUCCCCACAAAAAGUUCCAAGAACCGGAGUCUGCUUUUCCACUGCAGCAGGGGACGUUAGGAGAGAAUGAUGCUAUGUUGAGAGACAAAAGGAUCACUUCGAGACUAGACAGAAGACAGUGACAAUGAAACACUGCUAUUGGGAAGGAAACGCAUAUAUGGACGAGCUAGCGAAUUAUGCACUCGCGCUUCCCCGAAGAACCCAAAAACUUAGCCUUUAGCCCAGGGGCUUGAUCUUUUGUAGUUCUAUAUAUCACGAAUACAUGGACGUUCUAUAUAUAUGGACGAGCUAGCGAAUUAUCAGGGACGUCUUGUGGGACACUCUGCAUCAUUUUUGUAUUGCUUAAUGUUUUAUUUUUUUAAUACAAUUGGG